rnacentral:tRNA from 13 species
GCCCGUAACUAUCUGAAUUUUAUGACAUGGGGAUUGAAAAUCCCCGUGUCCUUGGUUCGAUUCCGAGUCCGGGCACCA